rnacentral:rRNA from 1 species
GAUGAACGCUGACAGAAUGCUUAACACAUGCAAGUCAACUGUGGCGGACGGGUGAGUAACGCGUAAAGGACUGGCCUCACAGCUAGGGACAACCUGUGGAAACGAAUGAUAAUACCUGAUACUGUGAGAGAGUUUUGGGUCCCAUUAGCUAGUUGGAGAGGUAACGGCUCACGAAGGCGAGGAUGGGUAGCCGGCCUGAGAGGGUGAUCGGCCACAAGGGGACAGGGGAAGCGCCCUUACGCCAACGGGAGGAAUCAGUGGGGAAUAUUGGACAAUGGACCAAAGUCUGAUGCAGCACUUCGGGUUGCAAGAUGAAUUUUUCGGAAUGAAAAGUGCUUGCAUGUGGGAAGCAGUACCAACAGAAGAAGCGACGGCUAAAUACGUGCCAGCAGCCGCGGUAAUUC